rnacentral:lncRNA from 1 species
CCUUGCUCAUGAAAGGAUUAAGGCCGGUUUGGAUGAAAAAUUACGUAGAAGCUCCUGAAUGAACCUUAAAUCAUUUUUAAGUUCUUAAUUUACAAGCAUCACAUGACUGCAAAAAAUUACUUAAAGAUUCCUGCUUGGUCAUCAAAUUGUAAUCAUGAUAUAUAUAUAUAUUAAAGCAGAUGCAUCAACUUUCGUCCGCUACUGUCACGUCUCCAACCC